rnacentral:rRNA from 1 species
GGGUUGUGAGGUUAAGCGACUAAGCGUACACGGUGGAUGCCCUGGCAGUCAGAGGCGAUGAAGGACGUGCUAAUCUGCGAUAAGCGUCGGUAAGGUGAUAUGAACCGUUAUAACCGGCGAUUUCCGAAUGGGGAAACCCAGUGUGUUUCGACACACUAUCAUUAACUGAAUCCAUAGGUUAAUGAGGCGAACCGGGGGAACUGAAACAUCUAAGUACCCCGAGGAAAAGAAAUCAACCGAGAUUCCCCCAGUAGCGGCGAGCGAACGGGGAGGAGCCCAGAGCCUGAAUCAGUGUGUGUGUUAGUGGAAGCGUCUGGAAAGGCGCGCGAUACAGGGUGACAGCCCCGUACACAAAAAUGCACAUGCUGUGAGCUCGAUGAGUAGGGCGGGACACGUGGUAUCCUGUCUGAAUAUGGGGGGACCAUCCUCCAAGGCUAAAUACUCCUGACUGACCGAUAGUGAACCAGUACCGUGAGGGAAAGGCGAAAAGAACCCCGGCGAGGGGAGUGAAAAAGAACCUGAAACCGUGUACGUACAAGCAGUGGGAGCACAGAGCAAUCUGUGUGACUGCGUACCUUUUGUAUAAUGGGUCAGCGACUUAUAUUCUGUAGCAAGGUUAACCGAAUAGGGGAGCCGAAGGGAAACCGAGUCUUAACUGGGCGUUAAGUUGCAGGGUAUAGACCCGAAACCCGGUGAUCUAGCCAUGGGCAGGUUGAAGGUUGGGUAACACUAACUGGAGGACCGAACCGACUAAUGUUGAAAAAUUAGCGGAUGACUUGUGGCUGGGGGUGAAAGGCCAAUCAAACCGGGAGAUAGCUGGUUCUCCCCGAAAGCUAUUUAGGUAGCGCCUCGUGAAUUCAUCUCCGGGGGUAGAGCACUGUUUCGGCAAGGGGGUCAUCCCGACUUACCAACCCGAUGCAAACUGCGAAUACCGGAGAAUGUUAUCACGGGAGACACACGGCGGGUGCUAACGUCCGUCGUGAAGAGGGAAACAACCCAGACCGCCAGCUAAGGUCCCAAAGUCAUGGUUAAGUGGGAAACGAUGUGGGAAGGCCCAGACAGCCAGGAUGUUGGCUUAGAAGCAGCCAUCAUUUAAAGAAAGCGUAAUAGCUCACUGGUCGAGUCGGCCUGCGCGGAAGAUGUAACGGGGCUAAACCAUGCACCGAAGCUGCGGCAGCGACGCUGAUGCGUUGUUGGGUAGGGGAGCGUUCUGUAAGCCUGUGAAGGUGUGCUGUGAGGCAUGCUGGAGGUAUCAGAAGUGCGAAUGCUGACAUAAGUAACGAUAAAGCGGGUGAAAAGCCCGCUCGCCGGAAGACCAAGGGUUCCUGUCCAACGUUAAUCGGGGCAGGGUGAGUCGACCCCUAAGGCGAGGCCGAAAGGCGUAGUCGAUGGGAAACAGGUUAAUAUUCCUGUACUUGGUGUUACUGCGAAGGGGGGACGGAGAAGGCUAUGUUGGCCGGGCGACGGUUGUCCCGGUUUAAGCGUGUAGGCUGGUUUUCCAGGCAAAUCCGGAAAACUAAGGCUGAGGCGUGAUGACGAGGCACUACGGUGCUGAAGCAACAAAUGCCCUGCUUCCAGGAAAAGCCUCUAAGCAUCAGGUAACAUCAAAUCGUACCCCAAACCGACACAGGUGGUCAGGUAGAGAAUACCAAGGCGCUUGAGAGAACUCGGGUGAAGGAACUAGGCAAAAUGGUGCCGUAACUUCGGGAGAAGGCACGCUGAUAUGUAGGUG